rnacentral:rRNA from 1 species
GACGAACGCUGGCGGCGUGCUUAACACAUGCAAGUCGAACGGCAGCACGGGUGCUUGCACCUGGUGGCGAGUGGCGAACGGGUGAGUAAUACAUCGGAACGUACCUUAUCGUGGGGGAUAACGCAGCGAAAGUUGCGCUAAUACCGCAUACGCCCUGAGGGGGAAAGCGGGGGACCGUAAGGCCUCGCGCGAUUAGAGCGGCCGAUGUCUGAUUAGCUUGUUGGUGAGGUAAAAGCUCACCAAGGGGAUGAUCAGUAGCUGGUCUGAGAGGACGAUUAGACACAAUGGGACUGAGACACGUCCCAGACUGCUACGGGAGGCGGCAGUGGGGAAUUUUGGACAAUGGGGGCAACCAUGAUCCAGCAAUGCGGCGUGAGUGAAGAAGGCCUUCGGGUUGUAAAGCUCUUUUGUCAGGGAAGAAACAGCAGCUCUAACACAGUCUGCGAAUGACGGUACCUGAAGAAUAAGCACCGGCUAACUACGUGCCAGCAGCCGCGGUAA